rnacentral:rRNA from 1 species
UACGGAGGGUGCAAGCGUUAAUCGGAAUUACUGGGCGUAAAGCGCGCGUAGGCGGUUUGCUAAGUCAGAUGUGAAAUCCCCCGGGCUCAACCUGGGAAUGGCAUUUGAGACUGGUAGGCUAGAAUGUGGUAGAGGUGAGUGGAAUUCCAGGUGUAGCGGUGAAAUGCGUGGAGAUCGUGAGGAACAUCAGUGGCGAAGGCGAACAUCACUGGGGCCAUUAUUGGCACGACUGACGGUGCGAAAAGCGUGGGUAGCAAAACAGGAUUAAGAUACCCCGGUA